AUACUCAUUUUAAUAGCUCAUAUACUAACAUUGUAAAGAUAAUGAAAAAAAUAGCAUGGCCCUGCUUAAUGAAGACAAGCAAAUUCUAAAAGAGCUCAUUUUUUUU